UCUAUACAUCAUUUCAAGUAAAACUGGUAAGUAUUCCAUAUGGACGAAGAUUGAAUCUUCCUCCUCCUCUUAAAAUGAACCAGCGUGUUGGUGGGAAAAGGGAAUUUUACUGGGCACCUUGGCACCUGUUACAUCUUCAAUCAGUUAAGAGAGGUGCAGAUGCGCCAGCCAGAUGGCACAUGGAAGACGUGGCCUUUCUUUCAGGGAUUGUACCUAGGUGAAAUAUGAGAGAUUUAAACUAGUGCUGUUCUAAUCCUUAUAAAGGCCAUUCACUUCAUUUAAAGAAACAAGGUAAGAGUCUGUACACGGGGGAUUGUGCUCGGAUUCGCUAAAAGGAAAGAAACUGAUUUUUGAGGCCCUCGGAAAAUAAACGUGCAUGGGGGAGUUCGGUGUCGGUCUACAUAUAACGGGGAAACCAGAGCACAGAACUCAAAGAUCACCUCGGUGUUAAAUACAACACAGUGAUAAAAUACAGCUCAGCUCAAACUCUCAGGGUCAUCUAUAUCCUGGGCGCGAGCGUGGAAGAGCAGGAGCAAACAUAGCCCCGGAACCUCCAUUCAGCGCUUCGGCCUCCACCGCAGCACUUUGGGGAAACUGCACACACCUAAGUGUCCGCCUAUCCACCACGGCCACCCCUGCGGAUAUCCCCUAGAUACUCACAUGGGCUCGAGAGUCUUGCUGAGCCAGGACUUGAGUGCCUCGAAGUUUUCAAUGAUCAUUUUAGACACCAUCCAAAGAGGCCCCGAGGCCCGUCACUCCUCGAACCGCCCAGGUCGCGGCCGCUACGGUACCAAAAAAAAAAAAAGUGAUGCCGCCCGCGUGGGCCGCGGUGGGAGGCACCGGUGGCAGGUUCCCGCGAGGCCUGUUGGACGAACAGCUCCGCGGGGUCCACCGCAAGCCAAGAAUCCACGGGGUGCAGAAGCUCCCCCUCCCCAGACCCCGGCCCAAGCUCUGGCUGCAACGGUCUAG
rnacentral:lncRNA from 1 species